GCCAGGCGUGGUGGCACACGCCUGUAAUCCCAGCUGCUAGGCUCAGGAGGCUGAGGCAGGAGGAUCCAGAGUUCAAAGCCAGCCUCAGCAAUUGGCAAGGUACUAAGCAUCUGUGAGUGAGACCCUGUCUCUA
rnacentral:sRNA from 1 species